rnacentral:rRNA from 1 species
UACGUAGGGUGCAAGCGUUGUCCGGAAUUACUGGGCGUAAAGGGUUCGUAGGUGGCUUGUUAAGUCAGACGUGAAAUCCCUCGGCUCAACCGGGGAACUGCGUCUGAGACUGAUGAGCUCGAGUGCAGGAGAGGAACGCGGAAUUCCAGGUGUAGCGGUGAAAUGCGUAGAUAUCUGGAGGAACACCGGUGGCGAAGGCGGCGUUCUGGACUGCAACUGACACUGAGGAACGAAAGCCAGGGAGCAAACGGG